AAUGAAGAAAAGAUUAAGAAAAGAAAACUCAAUUGCCAUGUCCAUCUCUUUCUGCUUCCCUACCUCCUUAUCUCCCUCAUCCUCUCUCUUACUAAAUUCACAAGAUGCAGAGAUCAUCGAAAAGUUCCAGAGUGACUGAAGAGCUGUUCAAUCACGCAAGCACAGACACAGACCAACAAGAACUUCCCACGUAUGAUCCACUUUCUCACAUUGGAAAGAAGGAAAAGUCUCGUCUCAGAUCUGCUGAGUAUGCAAUCCAUGUCAUCCCUCUUGUUCUUGUUCUCUGUGCCAUCAUCCUCUGGUUCUUCUCAAACUCCCCAGAGCCAAGGAUUUGAGAAUCGAUAACGUCGGCAAUGGUGUUAAUUCAUGGAACAGGUUGCUGGCUGGCUUUCCUCUUGGCCAAAAGAAGAAAAGAAGCGAAGGGCACUCCAAACAAUCUUCCAAAGGGCGGGGAUUGGAGCCUAUUGCCGGCGACAAUUAUGGAGGAAGGUGGUAUCAAGGCAGAUUACUCCCAAGCAAAUCCACCGGACUCCUAGCCAACGAUCAUGAUGAUUCUUACCAGGACUGGUACCUCUGAUCACCAUAAUUUGUGCUGCAGAAUUCUAGCCAACAGACUUGUAUUCUUCUAUAUUUAGCUCACUGUAAUUCCUGCAUUACUGUAUACAAUCUCUAUAAAUUAGAUACCAUAUUACAGUAAUAAGAUGAGGAGAAUUUCCAUUGAAA